rnacentral:rRNA from 1 species
AAUAGAUACCCGGUAGUCCAUGCCGUAAACGUUGGGCGCUAGGUGUGGGGACCUUCCACGGUUUCCGUGCCGCAGCUAACGCAUUAAGCGCCCCGCCUGGGGAGUACGGCCGCAAGGCUAAACUCAAAGGGAAUUGGACGGGGCCCGCACAAGCGGCGGAGCAUGCUGAUUAAUUCGAUGCAACGCGAAGAACCUUACCUGGGUUUGACAUAUGCCGGAAAGCUAUAGAGAUAUAGCCCCCUUUUGGUCGGUAUACAGGUGGUGCAUGGCUGUCGUCAGCUCGUGUCGUGAGAUGUUGGGUUAAGUCCCGCAACGAGCGCAACCCUCGUCCUAUGUUGCCAGCACGUAAUGGUGGGGACUCAUAGGAGACUGCCGGGGUCAACUCGGAGGAAGGUGGGGAUGACGUCAAGUCUUCAUGCCCCUUAUGUCCAGGGCUUCAAGCAUGCUACAAUGGCCGGUACAAAGGGCUGCGAAACCGCAAGGUGGAGCGAAUCCCAAAAAGCCGGUCUCAGUUCGGAUUGGGGUCUGCAACUCGACCCCA